CGCGGAGGUGACGGCGGAACA
rnacentral:misc_RNA from 1 species